rnacentral:rRNA from 1 species
AGGUGCGAUCAUACCAGCACUAAUCCACCGGAUCCCAUCAGAACUCCGAAGUUAAGCGUGCCUGGGCGAGAGUAGUACAAGGAUGGGUGACCUCCUGCGAAAUCCUCGUGUUGCACCCC